GACGAACGCUGGCGGCGUGCUUAACACAUGCAAGUCGAACGGAAAGGCCCUGCUUUUGUGGGGUGCUCGAGUGGCGAACGGGUGAGUAACACGUGAGUAACCUGCCCUUGACUUUGGGAUAACUUCAGGAAACUGGGGCUAAUACCGGAUAGGAGCUCCUGCUGCAUGGUGGGGGUUGGAAAGUUUCGGCGGUUGGGGAUGGACUCGCGGCUUAUCAGCUUGUUGGUGGGGUAGUGGCUUACCAAGGCUUUGACGGGUAGCCGGCCUGAGAGGGUGACCGGCCACAUUGGGCCUGAGAUACGGCCCAGACUCCUACGGGAGGCAGCAGUGGGGAAUAUUGCACAAUGGGCGGACGCCUGAUGCAGCAACGCCGCGUGCGGGAUGACGGCCUUCGGGUUGUAAACCGCUUUCGCCUGUGACGAAGCGUGAGUGACGGUAAUGGGUAAAGAAGCACCGGCUAACUACGUG
rnacentral:rRNA from 1 species